UUCAGGGGUAAACCUGAGAAACCCGAAAGGUCGAAAGGGGAAAUUCAUUCGCGUUUCGGCGAUCGGAGCGAGACGGUCGAGCGACGGACGGCGCUUGCGUGGUCCGCGCCUUUCGUUUCGCUAUCCGGCGUCGAACGCGUGCACUUUUCCCCUAGUAGGACGUCGCGAUCCGUUGGGUGUCGGUUUAAGGCCCGCGGUGGAGCCCGGGCGAGCGUUUCGGCGUCUCGCCCGGACCCGCGGUGUCCCGGCCGACCCGCUCGACGGUAUACAGAUGGCGCGGGGCCGCUGCUCGACAGCGUUCGGCCCGCGGCAAGCGCGUACGGUGUUGACGGCGAUCGGACCUGGUGCCGGUCCUGUCCCCGGACGACUGUUGGCCGCGGUGUUCUCGGACAGACCUCGAUUCUUACGCCGAUCUGCGACGCUAUAGCUUUGGGUACUUUCAGGACCCACGGACCAAGGAGUCUAGCAUGUGCGCGAGUCAUUGGGACAUAACUAAACCUAAAGGCGCAAUGAAAGUGAAGGUUCGCCUCGCGCGAACCGAGGGAGGAUGGGCGUGCCGUACUUUCGUGCGGCCGUUCCGCACUCCCGGGGCGUCUCGUUCUCAUCGCGAGAAGAGGCGCACCAAGAGC
rnacentral:rRNA from 1 species